rnacentral:rRNA from 1 species
AGAAUCAACGCUGGCGGCGUGCCUAACACAUGCAAGUCGCACGAGAAAGGGACUUCGGUCCUGAGUAAAGUGGCGCACGGGUGAGUAACACGUGAAUCAUCUACCUCCGAAUGGGGAAUAACUGAGAGAAAUCUUAGCUAAUACCGCAUAAUACCUACGGGUCAAAGCAGCAAUGCGUUUGGAGAGGAGUUCGCGGUCGAUUAGUUAGUUGGCGGGGUAAUGGCCCACCAAGACGAUGAUCGAUAUCCGGCCUGAGAGGGCGCACGGACACACUGGAACUGAAACACGGUCCAGACUCUACGGGAGGCAGCAGUGGGGAAUUUUGCGCAAUGGGGGAAACCCUGACGCAGCAACGCCGCGUGGAGGAUGAAAUAUCUUGGUAUGUAAACUCCUUUCGAUGGGGAAGAUAAUGACGGUACCCAUAGAAGAGCCCGCUAACUUCGCGCCAGCAGCCGC